GACGAACGCUGGCGGCGUGCUUAACACAUGCAAGUCGAACGGAAAGGCCCUGCGUUGGUGGGGUGCUCGAGUGGCGAACGGGUGAGUAACACGUGAGUAACCUGCCCUUGACUUUGGGAUAACUUCAGGAAACUGGGGCUAAUACCGGAUAGGAGCUCCUGCUGCAUGGUGGGGGUUGGAAAGUUUCGGUGGUUGGGGAUGGACUCGCGGCGUAUCAGCUUGUUGGUGGGGUAGUGGCUUACCAAGGCUUUGACGGGUAGCCGGCCUGAGAGGGUGACCGGCCACAUCGGGACUGAGAUACGGCCCAGACUCCUACGGGACGCAGCAGUGGGGAAUAUUGCACAAUGGGCGGAAGCCUGAUGCAGCACCGCCGCGUGCGGGAUGACGGCCUUCGGGUUGUAACCCGCUUUCGCCUGUGACGAAGCGUGAGUGACGGUACUGGGUAAAGAAGCACCGGCUAACUACGUG
rnacentral:rRNA from 1 species